rnacentral:rRNA from 1 species
UACGUAGGGGGCAAGCGUUGUCCGGAAUUAUUGGGCGUAAAGAGCGUGUAGGCGGCUAGGUAGGUGGGUUGUGAAAACUGGAGGCUCAACCUUCAGACGUCGACCCAAACCCCCUGGCUAGAGUCCGGAAGAGGAGAGUGGAAUUCCUGGUGUAGCGGUGAAAUGCGCAGAUAUCAGGAAGAACACCCGUGGCGAAGGCGGCUCUCUGGGACGGUACUGACGCUGAGACGCGAAAGCGUGGGGAGCGAACAGG